rnacentral:rRNA from 1 species
GACGAACGCUGGCGGCGUGCUUAACACAUGCAAGUCGAACGGAAAGGCUCCAGCUUGCUGGAGUACUCGAGUGGCGAACGGGUGAGUAACACGUGGGUAAUCUGCCCUGCACUCUGGGAUAAGCCUGGGAAACUGGGUCUAAUACUGGAUAUGACCUUUCUCCUUAUGGGGUUUGGUGGAAAGUUUUUCGGUGUGGGGUGAGCCCGCGGCCUAUCAGCUUGUUGGUGGGGUGAUGGCCUACCAAGGCGACGACGGGUAGCCGGCCUGAGAGGGUGAUCGGCCACAUUGGGACUGAGAUACGGCCCAGACUCCUACGGGAGGCAGCAGUGGGGAAUAUUGCACAAUGGGCGGAAGCCUGAUGCAGCGACGCCGCGUGAGGGAUGACGGCCUUCGGGUUGUAAACCUCUUUCAGCAGGGACGAAGCGUAAGUGACGGUACCUGCAGAAGAAGCACCGGCUAACUAUGUG